UACAGUAUAGUAUCAAUGGUGUCAUGUAUUAACCUUUCUUUGUUAAGAUGAAUAUUUUUUUUAAUGGAGCACCAAGUCCCUGUGUGAAAGACUAAAGAUCUUACAGUAUAGUAUCAAUAUUGUCACGUAUUAACCUUUCUUUGUUAAGAUGACUAUUUUUUCAAAUGGAACACCAAGUCCCUGUGUGAAAGAUUAAAGAUCUUACAGUAUAGUAUCAAUAGUGUCAUGUAUUAACCUUUCUUUGUUACGACUUCAAUAUUAAGUUCCUGUUAAAGAUUGGAGUCCAUUCAGUUAGUAUUAAUAUAUUGUUAACUAUCAUUACAGGUUGGGCAGCAAUGUAGUGCCGCCUCCACGUGGCGCUGCCUGGGAUCACUAGUGGCUACUACUGCUAGUGAUGCUAAGAGCACUACAUACAAGAAGAAUAUAACAAGACUGCACUAACACUAGAUUCAAGUUGAAGCAAAGAUGAAAUCUCAAGUGGUGGGAUACUCAAGAAGCAAGAGAUUUUUAAAGAGACAAACAAACAAUGACACUUCCUUGACACUUAUUAACGUUUUGCUAAGUUCAAUUUCUUUAAAAAUAUUUUUAAUUUUGAUUACAUACAA